UACGAAGGGGGCUAGCGUUGCUCGGAAUUACUGGGCGUAAAGGGCGCGUAGGCGGGUCGUUUAGUUAGAGGUGAAAGCCCAGGGCUCAACCCUGGAAUUGCCUUUAAUACUGGCGGCCUUGAGUAUGGCAGAGGUGUGUGGAACUCCGAGUGUAGAGGUGAAAUUCGUAGAUAUUCGGAAGAGCACCAGUGGCGAAGGCGACACACUGGGCCAUUACUGACGCUGAGGCGCGAAAGCGUGGGGAGCAAACAGG
rnacentral:rRNA from 1 species